rnacentral:lncRNA from 1 species
AUUACCUCUAUAGGUGGAGAAGCAGGUUGUAUUUGUUCAUUCUCAAUACACUCUAUUACACAAGCGAGGAGACCUGAUGUUUAGCAUAGUCCAACCAUCAGUUAGUGACUAUGUCUGUGAUACUUCCUGUUGCAAGGAAGCAGCAAAUCCGUUCCACUUUGGAGAUAAUGAUACUGACCAGGCUAUUGUUGGUGGGUACUGUGAUUUUAUGAAAGCCUAGAUAGCAAGUGGAUAUAGCAGUUUGUUAUGUCUGCUAAGUAUUGCAAUAAGGUCCUGGCCCAAGCUUGUCCACUUGUGUACCGAAAUUAUGACAGAUUCAAGGAACACAGUAACAUUAUUUGAUAAGUUCUCAGCUACAAAACAGGAUGUUCCAACAUAGUCACCAUUAUCAGCUAUGCAUUUUCACCAGUGAUGAACAAGACAUGCUUCAGACAUGCUUAAAGAGAUGCCAGUAAAUGCCAGCAUGUUGAAAUCAAUAGUGGGAUAUGGAGAUUUUCCAGCGUGCCACACCUGGCCCAGACAGAGCGGGGAGUGGUGCCUUUGUUGCCAUGUGCAAGCACUGACCACCUUUUGCAGUGGUCAGCUUCUUCAAGCUGCGCCCCUGAAAAAGUCUGCUUGUCCUGCUUCUUCUUAUCUUUACAAUCAUAAGCACAUGGUGCUGGGCGCAUGGGGGAUUGUUCCACCAACAUGCACACUGAGAGAAGCAGAGACUACGUGUAAAAAGGUACAGCAUAUACAUAUUCAUUACAUUUCAAGGACAUGGGCAGAAAUUUCAAGAAAUAAAUAGCAUCUUUGGUGGAUGUGGGAUGAAGGAUGAAGUCAUUCUUGCUGUAAAUUUCCAACCUGUUAAGGGGAGGUAGCCCAAACCUGUUCCCACCGAUAUUAUAAGCUGUUUUGCCAUUUUAUCUUCAACAGCAGGACAUCUAUUCUACUUCCUUAUCUUCACCUGACAACAAACUCUGUGGCUUCCUCCACAUUCUGUUCUCGAGCUUACAUUUAAGCUAGCCUCCAUCCUUCAGCUUAUAUCUGGUCAAGUUAUGUGAAA